rnacentral:rRNA from 1 species
UACGGAGGGAGCAAGCGUUACUCGGAAUUAUUGGGCGUAAAGGGCGCGUAGGCGAUUUGAAAAGUCUUGUGUGAAAGCCCCGAGCUUAACUCGGGAAGUGCACAAGAAACUGUUGAAUUUGAGUCCCGGAGAGGAAGAUGGAAUUCCCGGUGUAGCGGUGAAAUGUGUAGAGAUCGGGAGGAACACCGGUGGCGAAGGCGGUCUUCUGGACGGUGACUGGACGCUGAGGCGCGAAAGCGUGGGGGAGCAAACGGG